GCCAAGAGCGUACACGUUGGGACCCGAGAGAUGAUGAACUAUACCUGGUCAGGAUGAAGUCAGGGGAAACCCUGAUGGAGGUCCGUCGAGAUUCUGACGUGCAAAUCGAUCUUUCGAACUGGGCAUAGGGGCGAAAGACCAAUCGAAUCAUCUGUUAGCUGGUUUCACUGGAAGUUUCCCUCAGGAUAGCUGGCGCACAAUCAAGUGUUUCAUCCGGUAAAGCGAAUGAUUAGUGGCCUUGGGGUCGCGCGACGAAGACCAACAAGCCGGUGGACGUCGAGGCGAGCCGGUUACGGUCGCGUUCGACGAACCCCCGAUCUUUGCCAACGCCCGGUACGCGCUGAACGCGCGAUUCUACGCAUUUCGAUAACGUCGGACGCGGGCUGGCCACGAAGCCGUCUGGGCACCGCCUUGCGGCGGACGCGCCAGGCUGCCGACUCCUGCUUCGGCCCGCAUCCAACGUGCCGUGGCGCUCUACUGGGAGAAGAAGUGCG
rnacentral:rRNA from 1 species